GCCAGGGCUGCGAGGGCAGGGAUGGUGACCCAGGACAUCCUUCCCGGCCCAGUCAGACCCUGAGGCCACCCUCAGGCACUGCCCACUGCAGAUUUUGGGGGAGCAGCAGCAAGGCUGCCAGGGUGCCAAGGAGCCAGCAGAGAGCUGCAAACAUCUCUCCCUCUCCUCGUCCUCCCCAGCACGGGGGGCUUUCCCCGGGGUAUCCUCACAGAUGCUGACUGCUCACCAAGCCCAGCCCUGGCAGGGGGCACAGCCGUGCCCCACCCUCUGCUCAUUCUGCCUUUCACCGCCGCCCACCCGUCAUUCCUGCCCGAAGCCCAGGCUCAGCCCAAUCUGAGUUAAUUGCAGGAGUCAGACGUCAGCUGCUUUUAUGUAACGCUCCCGUGUAAUUCCAUCUCCUCGUUUCCGCACCCCCACUAAUUUAUUCACUCCAGGUUUCUUUAAAUCAGCCCAGCCUUUUUUUUCCUUGUUUUUUUCCCCCCUUCCACAAGGUCUCUUUGUAAAUCGUGUUCCUAAUGCAAGGACUUGGCAUUCCCUAGGUAGCCAGGGCGAGCGGGAGCAAGCCCCAGGGGACUGGAAGAGCGGGGCAAGCUCCUUCUCCUGGGUUUUGCUGUGCUGAGGCUGCCCACGGUUCCCUCCUUCCCUAAUUACUUCUAUUUCAGUGUUUUCUUCUACUGCUUCAGCAAAGAGACAGGCUAGACUUUUCAAACUUGCAGCAUUAACAUAUGUAUUUUUUUUUUUUAUUCUCUCUACUGAUAAAUGGUGAAGAUUUGAAGCACGGUUAUUGUUCUCCAAUACAAUAAGAUAAAGAAUUACCCUGUGCACUUAUUGAUCUCCCGUAGGGCCAAUACUUAGAAAAAAAACAUCUCUGAUGGAGGAGAGGGCCUUGCCCUCUGUUUCCUCUCGCCAGCUGUGUUGGGAGGUGCUGGGAUGUGCUGGAGUGUGCUGGGAUGGGCUGGGAGGUGAUGGGGUGUGCUGGGGUGUGCUGGGAUGGGAUGUGCUGGCAGGUGCUGGGAUGUGCUGGGAGGUGCUAGGGUGUGCUGGGAGGUGCUGGGACGUGCUGGGGUGUGCUGGGAGGUGUUGGGAUGUGCUGGGGUGUGCUGGGAGGUCCUGGGAUGUGCUGGGAUGUGCUGGGCUGGAGCCCACAGAUGCAGCAGCCGUGGCAGAGCUCUGGCCCCACCAAUGAGCCACCUGAGGACCCAGGUCUCUCUGAGCACUCCUUCUCACAGAAAUGACUCUUCAUUUAGCUCUUGUGUUGACAGGGCUCAAAUUAAGAGGUAAUUGAGGCAGCUCUCAGAGGCAGAGAUGUUCACGAAUCCUUCUGAGCCGCCAGCGGGGCUUGUAGAGAACCCAGCACCCCAAUUCCUGCAGAACUCAGGGAUAAUUACCUCGGGCUUCACCCCCACACCAGGGCUAACCCAGCACCCCAAUUCCUGCAGAAUUCAGGGAUAAUUACCUCGGGCUUCACCCCCACAUCAGGGCUAACCCAGGUG
rnacentral:lncRNA from 1 species